CCCUAUAUAACUUUGCUUGUAUAGGGUUAUUGAUCUAGGAAUAGAUGGCUAUGACAGGUGUCAUACCCAUCCAAUGUUAAUUGAUUGAAUUCAAGAAGAUGCAUUCAAUUGGGUGCAAGAAGAGGAACAAGGUAAAAACUGAAGAAGGAUAGAGCCCAAAUUAUAUAUCUGCAGGAGACUCACCUCAACAAAGUAGAACAUGACAGGCUAAAGAGAUAUGAAUAACUAAUUGGAAAUUGAAUGUGGGUCUACUGAAUAAUAAACAAAGAAAGGACAAAAUCAAAUUGGGAAUAUAAAACUGUUACGGAAAACGACAAUGAGAUGGUGGAGCCAACGAUGGUUUGGGACACCUUGAAGGCAGUUAUGAGAGGCAGAUUAAUUUCAGAAUCAACCUAUGCAAAAAAAAACGUGAAAUAACGUAUACGAAAAUAUAGAAAAACAGGAUUGGAAAGAGACUACCAGAAUUCAGCUGACUUGGACACACAAAAGAAAAUUAAACUCGUAAAAUUAGAGAUAGAUAAACAUCUAACAGAGGAGGAAGUUAUUAUGAGAUCGGCCCGAGAGCCACUAAACUAUUGGCGAGACUGACCCAUAGGCAACUCGCGGCUAGUCAAAUCCAUAAAAUUAGGGACCCCCGUACGAACCAAUUGAUAACAGAGCCAGAGGAUAUAGAAAGAACAUUCCAGAGAGAUUAUGAGGAGUUAUAUACACAGCUAGAGUCUAAACAAGACUCCUCUCUUUGUGCAAACACACUGGACCUACCAAAGAAAGGACAGACACAGAACGAUGUCCUAACAAGGGAUAUUUCAAUAGAGGAGGAAGUGGAGGCAAUAAAUACCUAAACCGGGGAAAGAUAGGGAAUUAUGCAGAAAUAAUCGUCCAAUAUCGUUACUAAAAGGUUAUAUACAUCUAUUAUUGCUACACGACUACACGCCUUUACACAGGAUUUGAUCGACGAGGACCAAACGGGAUUUGUGAGCGGGCGACAGACGCACGAUAACAUUAGGAGGACACUGCGCCUUAUAGACCAGGCAAACAAACUGUCAGGAUCUGACUGAUCUGGUGUGUUUUCUAGUUUCAGGCUGGGCGAGCAGGUUUCCACGGUUACCUCGGCGGAGUCUGGUGGCUGCCUGCUGUCACACCUGUUGUGCAUCUACCAUUGUCAGGAACCCUUCUUAAGGAGCAGCAGGAGCACCAGUCUUCAGCAGAUCGUUUUGCCCUCCGUGUGCCUCGUCCAAGCCUUGUUCCUCCCGAGUCUGAAUGCUUCCUUUCUCAUCUCACCCGCCACAACUCCGGAAAACUCCCUCCAGCCGGUCAAGUCGCUACCUCUCCAUCCAGUGUGGUUUCCACCAGAUCACAUUGCUCCUGCCGCCCGGACCCUUGUGCUUACCUGUUUUCUUCAGCGUUCCCCCGGCCACGGUUCAGCGCUGCUUAUGGAAAUCCCACUUCUGCUGAAAUAAAAUUAUUUUUUCAUCCACUGAAUCCUGCUGUUGAGUCCUACCUUUGUUUGGGCUGUCACCCCGGGACACAAACAGAAAAGAGACUCAAUUCUGGUUGGCGUAGAUGCCGAAAGGCGUUUGACAGGGUGAAUUGGACUUUCCUAUUCACAGUGUUGGAGAAGUUUGGAUUCAACAAUAAAUCAAUACAGAUUAUUCAAACUCUAUAUCAACGACCUACAGCUAGAAUCAAAAUAAACGGAACCCUAUCUAACCAGACAGGGAUGCCGUUUGUCACCAUCCCUGUUCCCAUGUUUUAUUGAACCACUGGCCCAAGCCAUACGCGAAAAAGACGAGUCAGUGGGUGACGUAGAACAUACGGUCGGACAGAUGACGUCAUUGCAUUCCUUGAACGGCCCAGUGAAUCGUUGCCUGAAUUAAUAAGAACGAAUGUAUCACCCAGACUUUAUACAUGUUCCAAGCAUUAUAAUAAAGAUACCUCAAACACAA